AGCAGCCGCGGUAAUUCCAGCUCCAAUAGCGUAUAUUAAAGUUGUUGCAGUUAAAAAGCUCGUAGUUGAAUUUCGGGAUUGGCGUGUCGGUCGUGCCUUAAGGGGUAUGAACUGGCGUCGUCGAUUUCUCACCUUCUGGAGAAACACGAUGCCCUUAAUUGGGUGUCGUGCGGAACCAGGACCUUUACCUUGAAAAAAUUAGAGUGUUUAAAGCAGGCAUUUUUGCUCGAAUACAUUAGCAUGGAAUAAUAAAAUAGGACGGUUGGUUCUAUUUUGUUGGUUUCUAGGAUCACCGUAA
rnacentral:rRNA from 1 species